rnacentral:lncRNA from 1 species
UGUUAUAAAUUUGACUGAUAUUCUGAUGAAAAGAGAGGACUUAUAAUUAGAUUUCCUUACAGUUUACUGCAUUGAUAAUCAACUGAUUUUAUUUUGACUGGGUGUCAGCUAAACUUUUUAUUCAGCUGCAGUUCCCUGAGUAAAGAAGAUAUCCAUGAUUUAAUUGGAACAAUCCAGUCUUGAUGAAUGGCCUGAUGGUCUUAAUCAGAUUUGCAGCAGAAUCGAAAGAGGGAGAAGGCAGGUUUGUGGCUGACUUCACCGAUAAUACUCUACACACUGUGGCUGGCUACUCGGCAGUCAGAGCAAUAUUGAGGACUAUAAAGGAAUUUGAAAAUCAUCUUGCCUCAACCCUACCGGAAUACAGUGAGGGUGAGGCUGUGAUUGGAUUGGCAUUGCAGUCCGGGUCUCCUAUCCCAGUUGGUUGUUGCUGCAGUGACCCCAGUCAUCAUAAGGCGAAGUAACUUGAAGCAGCUCUGGUCCUGUAAUUCAGAAUGCCGCAAUAGGCCAGAAAACCCUAGAAAUCCCAUCCAAAUAAAGCUCAAGGGAGUACAAAGAGGUAUUUUUUCU